CUUACAUAUCAAUUAUAUCAUAGUGGUUUUUAUUGAGGUUAGGCUUAGUCUUAGAGCUAGGAUUAGGGUCAGGGCUUCUUUUAUGGCUAGGUUUAAUCAUGCUAUGAUUAGUUCUACGAUUGCAUGUUAGGGCAACUACUAAGGGUUAGGAAAGAGGCUAGAGAUUUUUGUUAUGACUUGGGUUAGAGUUCGUCUGUUAGUAAGGUGAGGGUAAG